rnacentral:rRNA from 1 species
UUAACACAUGCAAGUCGAACGGUAACAGGAAGCAGCUUGCUGCUUCGCUGACGAGUGGCGGACGGGUGAGUAAUGUCUGGGAAACUGCCUGAUGGAGGGGGGAUAACUACUGGAAACGGUAGCUAAUACCGCAUAACGUCGCAAGACCAAAGAGGGGGACCUUCGGGCCUCUUGCCAUCGGAUGUGCCCAGAUGGGAUUAGCUAGUAGGUGGGGUAACGGCUCACCUAGGCGACGAUCCCUAGCUGGUCUGAGAGGAUGACCAGCCACACUGGAACUGAGACACGGUCCAGACUCCUACGGGAGGCAGCAGUGGGGAAUAUUGCACAAUGGGCGCAAGCCUGAUGCAGCCAUGCCGCGUGUAUGAAGAAGGCCUUCGGGUUGUAAAGUACUUUCAGCGGGGAGGAAGGCGAUAAGGUUAAUAACCUUGUCGAUUGACGUUACCCGCAGAAGAAGCACCGGCUAACUCCGUGCCAGCAGCCGCGGUAAUACGGAGGGUGCAAGCGUUAAUCGGAAUUACUGGGCGUAAAGCGCACGCAGGCGGUCUGUCAAGUCGGAUGUGAAAUCCCCGGGCUCAACCUGGGAACUGCAUUCGAAACUGGCAGGCUAGAGUCUUGUAGAGGGGGGUAGAAUUCCAGGUGUAGCGGUGAAAUGCGUAGAGAUCUGGAGGAAUACCGGUGGCGAAGGCGGCCCCCUGGACAAAGACUGACGCUCAGGUGCGAAA